AAGAAAUAUUCUGUUUCUGGCCUCCCAUCUUGGUGGGGGAUGUGCAGGCUGAGAACACAGGAGCUGACUUCUAUUGUACCAGCUGAGACUGCAGGGUAGACUGCAAGAAGUGCCUCCUUGCUGAUGGACUGGCAGAUGAGAGUGGAGUCUGUAAAUCACCCUCCAUGCAAUGGUUCAUCAUAAAGGAUAUGGAGCAAAAUUAGAGGAGGCACGAGAAGGAAAGCCGGUGAUGAACAAGGAAAGUGCCUGGUUGAAGCUAGCUUGCAAUCCCCAAAGUCAGAAGGUUGCCUGGGAAGCCAUGAAACAAAGCCAAAUCAAGGCAAAGCAGACACAUGGAGAUUUUGAGACUGAGAAGAGGAAAACUGAGGACAUUCAUGUGAGAUGGUUUCAAGUUUCCCUUAGAAGGAGAAGUUAUCUUCAGAAGGUCAGGUUGGUGAGGUGGGAGUUCAAAAACAACAAAGUAUGUAGCUACCAUUGUGAGGAAGACCAUGGA
rnacentral:lncRNA from 1 species